rnacentral:rRNA from 1 species
GUUGUAUAGUCAAGUAAUUAAGUGCAUGUGGUGGAUGCCUUGGCAGUCAGAGGCGAUGAAAGACGUGAUAGCCUGCGAAAA